UAGAUAGAUAGAUAGAUAGAUAGAUAGAUAGGCACUCUGACCCCAGCUUCCUGACAUCACUGGAAUAUGCAAAAGAGAGAAUUUCUUUGUGCUGUAAAAUGGUUAAGCAUUGGUUAAUGGUUGCAGAUGCCAAUGCCAUAAUGCCAGUGGUUAGGGAUCUAAACUAGCUUGAGUCAAUAGCUGCUUUUUAUGGCUUGUCGGCCAUAUUGGCCAGUUGCCUAGCAACCGCAGUCUUGCUCAAUGUUUUUUUUAUUAUUAUUAUUAUUAUUAUUAUUAUUACGUCAGAAGGAUGGAUCAAAGGAAAAGGGAAAAUAUUGUAUGAGUCAGUAUGAAGACGGCGAUUUUAGGACCCAGAAGUUGCUGGAGAGAAGGAGGAGUUGAGGAGAAAGUGGGAGGAGUCUGAGGUUUGAUUGACACAGAGGCUCGGCGAGCGAGUAAUCCGGAGAAGUGACCACACUGAAUCAGGGGAGGGGGAGAAAACCAGCAGGAAAAGGAUUCCGUUUGGAAAAUUCGUCCCCAAUUCUGUAAAGCGAAUGUAUAAGAAUUGGUCGGGAGGCGAUCUCGGUUACCGAUGCGCGUUCAACGGUAGUUGAUAAUGAUGAAGAUGAGGCUGCCAGCGGCGGAGGGAGACAACGACGCGGCCGACGGUGAGCGACGACGGGAAAACAGCACCGCCACCACAACGACCAACAGAAGCAGCGGCGGCGGAGGGGGCGGCGAGCGGGGCUACAUCGCUUUCAACGCGUCGACGAAGGACGGAGCGGCGCGCACACCGCGGCAGCUCGACAAGGAGGCGGUGUUCGAGUGGUUCGGAUUGCGGCUCAGCCCGGCCAAGCGCGUGGAGUUCAUGUGCGGUCUGCUCCACAUGUGUCAGCCGCUCGAGCUGCGAUUCCUCGGCUCGUGCCUCGAGGACCUCGCGCGGAAGGACUUCCACGUCCUACGCGAUUUCGAGGCGCGCGCCAACAGCGCCGCCGAGCUGCGACUGCUCGCCGACGUCCGCGACCCAGUCGUGCUCUCGCGCCUGCUCGUCUGCCUCUCGCUGCUCGGCUCGAAGAAUCUCGAGUGCGCCGCGGUCCUCUACGGCACGCUGAGCCGCAUCAACUGCCUCAAUGUGCCGCAGCCCGGACCGGGACCGGCGACGCUGGAGCAGCUGGCGUUACUUUUCGCCAUGGCGUCGCUGCACCCGGCGUUCACCUUCCACCAGAGGGAGGUCGUGCGGGCGCAGCUGGACCGGGUGGAAGCCCUGCUGGAGGAGAGGAGCCUGAGCCACUGCGCAUGCGCAGCCCAAACCCUGCAGAGCCAGUUUUCUCGGCCGGAGCAGCUCUGUCCACACGCUGAAGCAAGAACAUGGCCAUCAUGUCCGAUCCAGCACCUCAACAACAUGCCUCCAAGCCAAGGAUGUGCCAAUGUUGCAGUGGUGCACAUUGAGAAGAUCAAACUGAAGGAGGUCUUGCAGGCAGGAGACAGCAGAGAGUAUAACUUUGAGGUUAAAUGGUCUGAUUCGUCGUCUACGGCUGUGACCAAAAGUCAUCGUGAACUACAGGACUUUCUUUUAAAGCUGUGUAAGGAACAGCGUGCAGGAGGUUUCGAGCAGGAUGUUAUCGGGUUACUGACUCGGGCCGACAGUGAGCACAGGGAGCAGGAAAGAAUGCUCAGGGCAAGGUUUGCAUCCGUGCCACGGGAGUUCCUACAGAUGUGCCAGGACUCAGGGUUUUUUCUGCUCGAAGCGUCUUCCCCACACAGCACUCACAGUAACAGCACACCUGGUGCCAGAACCCGACAGCCGGCGCCUCGCUUCUCAGAGGACUGCUCCGAGACUUCCAGCCUCGAUGAGGACCUCGACGCAUAUGGGGUUUCCCGCUCUAGAACACACAGCACCGGAAACACGAGCCACAGUAAGCAGCACAUGGACGGCACGCAGUGGGACUGCAGCAGGAAGAAUAUGCACGGAGAGCCCUACAGUGAUGUGAUGGGAAGGAGGCGAAGCUCCCAACCAUGUGGAACAGAACCAGAUCAGGAGUGUGAGGAGAGGAAGGUCAAAGCGAGACCGGCAGGCAAAAGGGACAGAGGCAGGAGAGGCCCUGUGGGGAAAAGCUCUGUUCCCAAUGGGAUUCAGAGAGUUCCUGCAGUCCAGAUGAUGAAUCAGUCCAUGUGUAAGGCAUCCGGGAGAGACACAUACGGAGACACAUCUUCAGAAAGCUCAAAUUCAGUGCCGUCGAGUCCCGUUCAUCACCAACACAGCCUGGAAACACAAGACACAGAGAGUCAGUCGGAUAACUCGGUCCCGGAGCCAGCCGACACAUCCCGACCCUCCCAUGGGCAGAGCACGGGCAGAAAGGCGGUCGCCAUGGUCAACCCGUUGGUGGAGGAACCGGAAGUGUUGCCUCACCCCCCGGCUGUGUUGGAACUGGCACUGACCUCGUGCCUCCCAUAUGCCGUGCAGUACAGCACAGGGCAAAGAGAUGCAGGCAAACCCGGAGAGAAUAAACUCACCAUCACGAUCCCUCUGGUCAAACAGGAUACGAGGCCCAGCAUGGCCAUCCCUGGAGACCUCUCCCAGUGCCCUCUGCCACCCGCCUUCCCUGAACCGGCUCUGCCCAGCAGUAUUGCUGCUCCGGGAAAACCAUGUGCCAAGGCAAGCACUCAGCCCCAGAGUCCUCACACACCUUCCAGUUUAGUCCAGUGUCCUCUCGCUGGCACAAUUCCUACACAAAUCCCGAGCUCUGCCCCUCUGCCGCCUCCUGCUAGCAUGCCCACCCCUAGCGAGAACACGGCAUACAUCAAUAGCACUGCGCAGUCACAACCCACGGGCUGCAACGCCUGCGGUUGCCGGGGCACCUGCGGAGGCAGCGGAGCUCACCAGUCUCCCGCCAGCUUCUUCCUGCCGGCACAUCCUGCCCGCCAGAUGUUUGGCCCACCUGCCCCGUUCUUCCAGCUGGCACCUUCGCUGUGCAGCACCACCUUCCCCACGCAGGGCCAUCAGGGAAACGGGACUCCGCUGCCCUUCUAUACCCACACAUCUCCGAGCGCUGCCUUCGCCAGCAGCGCACUCCUGCAAGCCCACUCGGACCACCUGAUGCACGCACAACCGGGCUACGCCACCAUGCCCCAGGUCACGCCGUUUGGACGCUUCUACCCGCCCGUCUUCCCUUCCAUGGGUGCCAUGCCCAACGCCACAGGAAUAAAGAAGAGCAGUGCCGUGUCCUGUUAUAACUGCGGCAUGAGCGGACACUACGCGCAUGACUGCAAGCAGCCUUCCAUGGACGCCGGGCAGCCAGGUAACGCCAGUGCCAGGAGGUGAUGAGUGUCCCUGCAGUCCACAUCCCUGUAAUUGUGUAUUUUUGCUUUUGAGUGGCUUCCGGCUUAAGUAUGUCGCCCCACAUUCGUCAGAGACACUAGACAAAACUGAUUGAAGCUUGCCGGGGACCAAGGAGACGCUCUGUCUCGCUUUCUGUAUUAAACACACCAGAGCUGAGCGGAACGCGCUAAAGCGAUGGGAUUCACGCGUCUUCUUUGUAUUAGCCACCUUUAUAAGCUUCGAUCCUGAUUUUGUUUUGUUUUUUGUGACACUCAUAAGAAAACGGAAGAACCUGCUCCAGAACACGACUCCACAUUCAUGACCUUUCCGUCCCCCAGUGCAGAUCUGGUGAAGAACUUCGUUCAGGACUUUGAACAGGUUUCGGGUUUUUGAGAAAAGGCUUCUCAAUUUAUUUAGCCAGGAGGCAUUGGUGUGUAUGUGUGUGUGUGUGUGUGUGUGUGUGUGUGUGUACACUAAAGUCUUUAGGUUUGGAGCGAAAAAAAGGAAGGAGGCAGACGGACGGAUGGACAGACAGACAAAAACGCUUGAAUUUGAGUACUUAAUUGGCCUGUGUUUUUCUUUUUUUUUUUUUUUUGCUUUCAAUGGACGUUUUAUCACAGAGGCCUGAUUUAAGGCUUUUGGGAAUCCUUUAUACUUGCAGUUGAUUUUUCUUUUCUUUUCCAAACACUACAUAGUCAUUAAAAGACAAAACAUUUUUGUGUUAAGGCUACAUACUCUUCAAUGUGAGUGUUCUGAAUGUAAAACACAACUAUAAGUCAGACGUCGUAACUGUGGAAAACAAAAAAAGAGAAAUAUAUAUAUAUCUCGCGCCGUCAAGCGCGCACUACAACCUUUUGGACAGUAUGCACUAAUAGUAUUGUUUUCCAGAGGCCUGUGUGUGUGCGCGCAAGUAAGGUAUUAAAGUGCACUGAUAUUUACAGCAUAAAUCCCUGCCAUGAACUCAGAGCAGCGUGUGUCCAGCAGGGGGCGCCUCGCGGCCAAUGCAUGGUGCAUGCGUGUUUUUUUUUUUUUACGCUAAACGUCAUACACAAAGCGAGCGCACGUCUCACGUGACGGAUCGCCCUCACUACACAACUUAAACCGCCAGGGGGUGGAGUUGAGCAGGGUUAAGUAGUAACAUUACCCCACUUUAUCAUCUACAAAAACACCUUCUGUUUGGAGGUUGAGGUUUAGGUUCAGAUCUACAUUGAUUACAGGAUCUGGAUCAGGUCUAAAUCCACCUUCUUGGAUCAAAUAUGCACGUGUAGGAGGAGCCACAUCCAACCUCCCUGGAUGUUUAGGUUCUGCACCAAAGGGCCUCCUAAGCACCACGCCUCUGAUCGUACACUCGCACUCUGAUUCUGUAACAGUCUUAUUUCUGAGUGUCGCCUCUUUCUAGACUUAUGAACAUAAACACGCCGUUGAGGCUACAGAAAGCGAAGAAUGGACGAAAACCACGUUUUACGAUGGAGAUUUAUUUUUUCCUCUUUAUAUAAAUAAUAUAAAAAAACUUGUGUGUCGAUUGUAACAAGAGUUCAGAAUUCUUCAUUUGUACAAGUUGUGUAACUUCGGUAUCGAGGUUGUGAUCACUUCUUUGGGGGGUUAAAAUAGAAAAGAAAUUGACAAAGCCACAAAUAUUUUUGUUUUUCUAUGGAGAGAUUUGGCUUGUUUUUGUACUGAUCAAUACAGAGUCACGUGUCAUUGUAGAACCAGACUGAGAACCCGAGGCCUUUAAAUUGGUUGGCAGACGGAUGGCCGGUUGUUUUUGUUGUGUUUUGUUUUGUUUUUAAUGCCAGGCAUUGCCUUUCUACAUCAUUAUUAUUCAUAUUUUGUUUGCAUGUUCUGAGACGUUAAGUUCUAGUCGCGAACCCAGAAACCUGCCAACUGUAUUAGUCCGAACUUUUAGAGGUGUAAAAGGUUUAUGAUGCUGUACUGUAUAAAAGUUUGUUUUUAUUUA